CCUACGGGAGGCAGCAGUGGGGAAUAUUGCACAAUGGGGGAAACCCUGAUGCAGCGACGCCGCGUGAGCGAUGAAGUAUUUCGGUAUGUAAAGCUCUAUCAGCAGGGAAGAAGAUGACGGUACCUGACUAAGAAGCCCCGGCUAACUACGUGCCAGCAGCCGCGGUAAUACGUAGGGGGCAAGCGUUAUCCGGAUUUAAUGGGUGUAAAGGGAGCGUAGACGGCGAUGCAAGCCAGAUGUGAAAGCCCGGGGCUCAACCCCGGGACUGCAUUCGGAACCGUGUGGCUGGAGUGUCGGAGAGGCAGGCGGAAUUCGUAGUGUAGCGGUGAAAUGCGUAGAUAUUAGGCGGAACCCCAGUGGCGAAGGCGGCCUACUGGACGAUGACUGACGUUGAGGCUCGAAAGCGUGGGGAGCGAACAGGAUUAGAUACCCCUGUAGUC
rnacentral:rRNA from 1 species